UACAGCCAUAUAGCGUUGAAACACCAGUUUCCGUUCAAUGACCGAUGUUAAGCAACGUUGAGCCUAGUCAGUACCUAGAUGGGUGACUGUUUGGGAGUAACAGGUG